AGAAUUUGAUCUUGGUUCAGACUGAACGCUGGCGGCGUGGAUGAGACAUGCAAGUCGAACGAAAAGAGGAGCAAUCCUCUUUUAGUGGCGAAAGGGUUAGUAAGGCAUGAGUAAUGUGCUUUUUGCCUCGGAACAACGGUUGGAAACGGCCGCUAAUACCGGAUGAGGUCAUUGAACGGCAUCGUUUAAUGAUCAAUGGAGGGGAUCCUGAAAGGGACCUUCCGGCAGAUGAGAAGCUCAUGUGGUAUCAGCUAGUUGGUGUGGUAAUGGCGCACCAAGGCUAAGACGCCUAGGCGGAUUGAGAGAUUGACCGCCAACACUGGGACUGAGACACUGCCCAGACUCCUACGGGAGGCAGCAGUCGAGGAUAAUUCGCAAUGGACGAAAGUCUGACGAUGCGACGCCGCGUGAAUGAUGAAGGCCUUCGGGUUGUAAAGUUCUGUCGUCCUGGAACAAGAGUAGUCGGCAAAUAGCCGAUUACGAUGAGUGUACAGGGAAAGGAAGCACCGGCUAAUUCCGUGCCAGCAGCUGCGGUAAUACGGAAGGUGCAAGCGUUAGUCGGAAUUACUGGGCGUAAAGGGUGCGUAGGCUGUUUAGUAAGUCGGAUGUGAAAUUCCGGAGCUCAACUCCGGAACUGCCUCCGAAACUGCUUUACUUGAGGAAUGGCGGAGAAAAUGGAAUUCCAUGUGUAGCGGUGAAAUGCGUAGAUAUAUGGAAGAACACCUGUGGCGAAAGCGGUUUUCUAGCCUUCUCCUGACGCUGAGGCACGAAAGCAAGGGGAGCAAACAGGAUUAGAUACCCUGGUAGUCCUUGCCUUAAACUAUGUAUACUUGAUGUAGCUGGGCUCAACCCUGGCUGUGUCGUAGCUAACGCGAUAAGUAUACCGCCUGGGAAGUACGCCCGCAAGGGUGAAACUCAAAAGAAUUGACGGGGACCCGCACAAGCAGUGGAGUAUGUGGUUUAAUUCGAUCCACGCGAAGAACCUUACCUGGUCUUGACAUGCAAGAGACCGCGGCAGAGAUGUCGCUUUCCCGCAAGGGACUGUUGCACAGGUGCUGCAUGGCUGUCGUCAGUUCGUGCCGUGAGGUGUUGGGUUAAGUCCCGCAACGAGCGCAACCCUUGUCGUUAGUUGCCAGCAUGUAAUGGUGGGCACUCUAGCGAGACUGCCUAGGUUAACUAGGAGGAAGGUGAGUAUGACGUCAAGUCCGCAUGGCCCUUAUGUCCAGGGCAACACACGUACUACAAUGGCCAGUACAGAAGGCAGCGAAACCGCGAGGUGGAGCAAAUCCCCAAAACUGGCCCCAGUUCAGAUUGCAGUCUGAAACUCGACUGCAUGAAGAUGGAAUUGCUAGUAAUGGCGAGUCAGCUAUAUCGCCGUGAAUACGUUCCCGGGUCUUGUACACACCGCCCGUCAAGUCAUGGGAGUUGGUUUUACCCGAAGUCGCUCACCCAACCGAAAGGGGGGAGGCGCCGAAGGUGAGGCUGAUGACUGGGACUAAGUAGUAACAAGGUAGCCCUACCGGAAGGUGGGGCUG
rnacentral:rRNA from 1 species